GGGUUGUGAGGUUAAGCGACUAAGCGUACACGGUGGAUGCCCUGGCAGUCAGAGGCGAUGAAGGACGUGCUAAUCUGCGAUAAGCGUCGGUAAGGUGAUAUGAACCGUUAUAACCGGCGAUUUCCGAAUGGGGAAACCCAGUGUGAUUCGUCACACUAUCAUUAACUGAAUCCAUAGGUUAAUGAGGCGAACCGGGGGAACUGAAACAUCUAAGUACCCCGAGGAAAAGAAAUCAACCGAGAUUCCCCCAGUAGCGGCGAGCGAACGGGGAGCAGCCCAGAGCCUGAAUCAGUGUGUGUGUUAGUGGAAGCGUCUGGAAAGGCGCGCGAUACAGGGUGACAGCCCCGUACACAAAAAUGCACAUGCUGUGAGCUCGAUGAGUAGGGCGGGACACGUGGUAUCCUGUCUGAAUAUGGGGGGACCAUCCUCCAAGGCUAAAUACUCCUGACUGACCGAUAGUGAACCAGUACCGUGAGGGAAAGGCGAAAAGAACCCCGGCGAGGGGAGUGAAAAAGAACCUGAAACCGUGUACGUACAAGCAGUGGGAGCACGCUUAGGCGUGUGACUGCGUACCUUUUGUAUAAUGGGUCAGCGACUUAUAUUCUGUAGCAAGGUUAACCGAAUAGGGGAGCCGAAGGGAAACCGAGUCUUAACUGGGCGUUAAGUUGCAGGGUAUAGACCCGAAACCCGGUGAUCUAGCCAUGGGCAGGUUGAAGGUUGGGUAACACUAACUGGAGGACCGAACCGACUAAUGUUGAAAAAUUAGCGGAUGACUUGUGGCUGGGGGUGAAAGGCCAAUCAAACCGGGAGAUAGCUGGUUCUCCCCGAAAGCUAUUUAGGUAGCGCCUCGUGAAUUCAUCUCCGGGGGUAGAGCACUGUUUCGGCAAGGGGGUCAUCCCGACUUACCAACCCGAUGCAAACUGCGAAUACCGGAGAAUGUUAUCACGGGAGACACACGGCGGGUGCUAACGUCCGUCGUGAAGAGGGAAACAACCCAGACCGCCAGCUAAGGUCCCAAAGUCAUGGUUAAGUGGGAAACGAUGUGGGAAGGCCCAGACAGCCAGGAUGUUGGCUUAGAAGCAGCCAUCAUUUAAAGAAAGCGUAAUAGCUCACUGGUCGAGUCGGCCUGCGCGGAAGAUGUAACGGGGCUAAACCAUGCACCGAAGCUGCGGCAGCGACGCUUAUGCGUUGUUGGGUAGGGGAGCGUUCUGUAAGCCUGUGAAGGUGUACUGUGAGGUAUGCUGGAGGUAUCAGAAGUGCGAAUGCUGACAUAAGUAACGAUAAAGCGGGUGAAAAGCCCGCUCGCCGGAAGACCAAGGGUUCCUGUCCAACGUUAAUCGGGGCAGGGUGAGUCGACCCCUAAGGCGAGGCCGAAAGGCGUAGUCGAUGGGAAACAGGUUAAUAUUCCUGUACUUGGUGUUACUGCGAAGGGGGGACGGAGAAGGCUAUGUUGGCCGGGCGACGGUUGUCCCGGUUUAAGCGUGUAGGCUGGUUUUCCAGGCAAAUCCGGAAAAUCAAGGCUGAGGCGUGAUGACGAGGCACUACGGUGCUGAAGCAACAAAUGCCCUGCUUCCAGGAAAAGCCUCUAAGCAUCAGGUAACAUCAAAUCGUACCCCAAACCGACACAGGUGGUCAGGUAGAGAAUACCAAGGCGCUUGAGAGAACUCGGGUGAAGGAACUAGGCAAAAUGGUGCCGUAACUUCGGGAGAAGGCACGCUGAUAUGUAGGUGAAGCGACUUGCUCGUGGAGCUGAAAUCAGUCGAAGAUACCAGCUGGCUGCAACUGUUUAUUAAAAACACAGCACUGUGCAAACACGAAAGUGGACGUAUACGGUGUGACGCCUGCCCGGUGCCGGAAGGUUAAUUGAUGGGGUUAGCGCAAGCGAAGCUCUUGAUCGAAGCCCCGGUAAACGGCGGCCGUAACUAUAACGGUCCUAAGGUAGCGAAAUUCCUUGUCGGGUAAGUUCCGACCUGCACGAAUGGCGUAAUGAUGGCCAGGCUGUCUCCACCCGAGACUCAGUGAAAUUGAACUCGCUGUGAAGAUGCAGUGUACCCGCGGCAAGACGGAAAGACCCCGUGAACCUUUACUAUAGCUUGACACUGAACAUUGAGCCUUGAUGUGUAGGAUAGGUGGGAGGCUUUGAAGUGUGGACGCCAGUCUGCAUGGAGCCGACCUUGAAAUACCACCCUUUAAUGUUUGAUGUUCUAACGUUGACCCGUAAUCCGGGUUGCGGACAGUGUCUGGUGGGUAGUUUGACUGGGGCGGUCUCCUCCUAAAGAGUAACGGAGGAGCACGAAGGUUGGCUAAUCCUGGUCGGACAUCAGGAGGUUAGUGCAAUGGCAUAAGCCAGCUUGACUGCGAGCGUGACGGCGCGAGCAGGUGCGAAAGCAGGUCAUAGUGAUCCGGUGGUUCUGAAUGGAAGGGCCAUCGCUCAACGGAUAAAAGGUACUCCGGGGAUAACAGGCUGAUACCGCCCAAGAGUUCAUAUCGACGGCGGUGUUUGGCACCUCGAUGUCGGCUCAUCACAUCCUGGGGCUGAAGUAGGUCCCAAGGGUAUGGCUGUUCGCCAUUUAAAGUGGUACGCGAGCUGGGUUUAGAACGUCGUGAGACAGUUCGGUCCCUAUCUGCCGUGGGCGCUGGAGAACUGAGGGGGGCUGCUCCUAGUACGAGAGGACCGGAGUGGACGCAUCACUGGUGUUCGGGUUGUCAUGCCAAUGGCACUGCCCGGUAGCUAAAUGCGGAAGAGAUAAGUGCUGAAAGCAUCUAAGCACGAAACUUGCCCCGAGAUGAGUUCUCCCUGACUCCUUGAGAGUCCUGAAGGAACGUUGAAGACGACGACGUUGAUAGGCCGGGUGUGUAAGCGCAGCGAUGCGUUGAGCUAACCGGUACUAAUGAACCGUGAGGCUUAACCUUACAACGCCGAAGCUGUU
rnacentral:rRNA from 1 species